rnacentral:rRNA from 1 species
GACGGAGGAUGCAAGCGUUAUCCGGAAUGAUUGGGCGUAAAGCGUCCGCAGGUGGCAGUUCAAGUCUGCUGUCAAAGACCGGGGCUUAACUUCGGAAAGGCAGUGGAAACUGAACAGCUAGAGUAUGGUAGGGGCAGAGGGAAUUCCUGGUGUAGCGGUGAAAUACGUAGAGAUCAGGAAGAACAUCGGUGGCGAAGGCGCUCUGCUGGACCAUAACUGACACUCAGGGACGAAAGCUAGGGGAGCGAAUGGG